CCUCAGGGUAGUAUUAUCAGUCCAAUAUUAUUCUUGAUUAUGAUUAAUGAUGUUUUUAAAAGCGUAGAGAGAUCAAUUAAUGUGGCAUUGUUUGCAGAUGAUGGGGCUAUGUGGAAGAGGGGUAAAAAUGUUAACUUUAUUGUGAAGAAGAUGCAACAAUCAGUGGAUGUGGUCCAAAAGUGGGCCCUUGAAUGGGGAUUUAGAAUAUCCAUAGAUAAGACUAAAACAGUAUUUUUUACCAGGAGAAAUAUUCCUCAAGAUUUAAAACUGAAGAUAUAUGGUGCAGAUUUAGAAAGAGUUGAUUGUUUUAAAUAUUUAGGUUUAUGGUUUGAUAAAAGGCUUACCUGGUCUGUACAUAUACAGAAAAUGAUAGAAAAAUGUAAAAAAGUGUUAAAUGUGAUGCGAUGCUUGCGUGGGGUGGAUUGGGGGGCAAAUAGACCAGCCUUAAGAGCUAUUUACAUUGGCCUCAUUAGGUCUGUAUUUGACUAUGGAUGUGUAGCUUAUAGAUCUGCAGCUAAGUCUCUUUUAAUGAGAUUGGAUGUAAUUCAACAUAAAGCAUUGAGGCUAUGCUGUGGUGCUAUGAAGACUACCCCAGUUAAUGCAAUUCAGGUCGAGAUGGGUGAAAUGCCUCUGUAUAUCAGGAGGGAUCAGUUAACGCUGGUUUAUUGGGCUAAUCUUAGAGGGCAAAAUGAAGAUCAUAUAAGUAAAACAUCUUUAAGUCAUUGUCAAGAGAGAGAGAAGUCCAAAAGUGGAAGUUUUGGGUGGAUUAUAUCUCAAAAGAUAAGUGAAAUUGGUCUUCAGUUGAUUAAUGUGUGUCCAACAGUGUCUUAUCCAACAGUUCCAUUGUGGAUAUUGAGAAACCCUGAAAUUGAUUUAGAUCUUUUAGAGUUAAAAUUGAGUGAGGAAAUUAACAGUGGAAUAGUAGAACAUUAUGUUAGAGAUGUUUAUAGAGACAAAAUGUUGAUAUUUACUGAUGCAUCAAAGUCAAUAGAAGGUAAAGUUGGUGUUGCGUUUGUGAUUCCUAGUCUCAAUAUUUGUAAAAAAGAAAGACUGAGUAAUGAUCUUUCAGUUUAUACAGCAGAGUUACUAGCAAUUUUUAAUGCUUUGAGCUGGGUUGAGAGUAAUAGACCUAGGAAUGGGGUUGUGGUUGCUUCAGAUUCAGUAUCUGCAUUGAUGAGCAUUCAAGGUGCCAUGUCACAAUCCAGACAAGAUAUUGUUUUAGAAAUUGUACAGUUAAUAAGUAGACUAUUAAAUUCUGAAAUAAUUGUCAGUUUUUUAUGGGUUCCAGCUCAUUUAGGAGUGCGGGGGAAUGAAUUAGCUGAUAAGAAUGCAAAGGAGGCAUGUGAAUCUCUUGAAAUUACAAUGAAUAUAAGUCAUAGUAAGUCUGAAAUUAAAACCAUAAUCAAAUUAAAGUAUAAGGGAAAAUGGCAAAGUGAAUGGGAUAAUGAUAUUUCUGGUAGAAAAUAUUACAGUAUUCAAAAGUUUGUGGGCGAAGCAAGACCAACUAAUAGAUCUACUCAUGAAGAAAACAUUAUCUCUAGGAUGAGGUUUGGACACACUGGUUUGGCUAGUACUUUAUUUCUUUUAAAAAAGCAUGCUGAUGGAAAGUGUAGUGUUUGUGAUGCUGAUGAGACUGUAGAACAUGUUAUAGAACAUUGUAUUAAGUUUAACCAGGAGAGACAGCAAUUAAUUCAAGAGAUGGAGAUAGAAAGUGAACAUUUAAAAACAAAAGUAAUUCUUCAGAAAAGAUCAAGUGAAGUUUGUUAUAGGUAUUUGUUUAAUUUUUUGGAAGAAACGGGUCUGAUUAGGAGAAUAUAGAGUAGGUCAUAUGUAUAUAAUAGUUUUUUUUUUUUUUUUUUUUUUUUAACAUAGCUAGUGUUAAACAUAUCCAGACUCACACUCCAUUUCGGUAGGUGGCGGUAAUGCUUCCAAAAGUUGUUUGCCAUCCGCCAUAAAAAGAGAAGAAGAAGAAGAAGAAGAAGAAGAAGAAGAAAUCUUCGCGAAAUGUUGGUCGUAGACUCGUAGCUGUAUCCCUUCUAGCCACAAACAGUGACACCGGUGACAGAAAAUGAAAAGGUAUCAACAGUAAAAGAGCUGGUGUCAGAACGAUUAAACAUCCCACCCAGCCAGCAAAGACUGUUAUAUAAAGGCAAAGCUCUUGCAGAUGAACAUAGGUUGAGCGAUUACUCUAUUGGACC